rnacentral:rRNA from 7 species
UCACGCCCCGGGUGCGUCGCAGCCCCGGAACCAGGCGCCCGCCGGAGGAACCAACCAAACUCUUUCUGUAGUCCCCUCGCGGACGUUAUUUCUUACAGCUCUGAGCAAAAAUUCAAAAUGAAUCAAAACUUUCAACAACGGAUCUCUUGGUUCUGGCAUCGAUGAAGAACGCAGCGAAAUGCGAUAAGUAAUGUGAAUUGCAGAAUUCAGUGAAUCAUCGAAUCUUUGAACGCACAUUGCGCCCGCCAGUAUUCUGGCGGGCAUGCCUGUCCGAGCGUCAUUUCAACCCUCGAACCCCUCCGGGGGAUCGGCGUUGGGGAUCGGGACCCCUCACACGGGUGCCGGCCCCUAAAUACAGUGGCGGUCUCGCCGCAGCCUCUCCUGCGCAGUAGUUUGCACAACUCGCACCGGGAGCGCGGCGCGUCCACGUCCGUAAAACACCCAACUUUCUGAAAUGUUGACCUCGGAUCAGGUAGGAAUACC